CUCAUAAAGAGUUGUAUCAUAUACCAAUACGAACAUUGGUGGCAUGCCUAACACAUGAAAUCCAUAUAGAAAGUAGUGUUUGCAAUGGUUGGUGGGUGAGAAACGCAUAAGAAACUACCUUUGGCAGGAGAACAACAACUAGAAAUGGUUUCUAAUACCCCAAUAGGAUAAGAAGAAAAAGGAAAAAUUCACCCAAGGAAUGCCUCACAUCCAAUUAGUUAUUUGGUGAGGUAAUGGCUUACCAAGGUGACAAACAAUAUCUAGUUCAAGAGGAUGAUUAGCCACACUGGGACUAAGACUCAACCCAAAAUCCUAUAUGAGGUAGUAGUGGGGAGUUUUUUGCAAUGGUUAAAAUCCUAACAAAGAAAUGUCACAUGAAGGCAAGAUUUCCAUGGUUUAUGAAGUUAUUUUCUUGAAGAAGAGGAAAAUAUGGUAUCUAAGGAAUAAGCAUCAACUAACUCUAUUCUAGUAACCAUUGUAAGAAAAUGGAAGAAAGAAUUAUCUGAAAUGAUUGGAUGUAAAGUGUCUAUAGGUGGAUUUUAAAGUUAAUCAUCAAAUUCUAAGGCACAACCUAGGAUAUAGGUGGAAAUUACCAAUAUGGAGUGUAGUAGAGGAAAAGGGAAUUUUUGGUGGACUGGUAAAAUGCAUUGAGAUAGGAAAGAACAACAAUGAUGAAAGUGCUAUCUUAGGAUGACACAAACACUAAGAGAUGAAAUAUAGGAAGUAAAUGGGAUUAUAUUAAUAAAGGAUGAUAUCAGUGGCCACCCACCUAUUCCAACUGGCUCAGAACGGGUUUUUGGAAACUUACUACUUUUAGCAGUUUUUUGGGUCCCAAACUUUCGAGGCCAUUUUGAGGGCCUAAACGAUGUUUUUUUCAUGAUUAGGCGCUUCAAAAAUAACCAAAUUAUCUAAUUGAGCCCCCUAAAUGAAUCUCCUUAUCAAUACCUUU
rfam:Picea glauca, whole genome shotgun sequence.